rnacentral:rRNA from 1 species
GAUGAACGCUGACAGAAUGCUUAACACAUGCAAGUCGAUGGGGAAGUGGUGCUUGCACCAUGGCAACCAUGGCGGACGGGUGAGUAACGCGUAAGGGACUUACCUGCAGGACUGGGAUAACAGGGGGAAACUCCUGACAAGACCGGAUAAUGUCAUGGAGCUGCAUGGCUUUAUGAUGAAAGGAGACGCCUGCGGAGAGCCUUGCGUCCUAUUAGCUAGUUGGUGAGGUAAUGGCUCACCAAGGCGAAGAUAGGUAGCCGGCCUGAGAGGGUGGACGGCCAAAAGGGGAAUGAGGUUCCGCCCUUACCUCCACGGGAGGCAGCAGUUGGGAAUAUUGGACAAUGGGGGCAACCCUGAUCCAGCAAUUCUGUGUGCACGAAGAAGGUUUUCGGAUUGUAAAGUGCUUUCAGCAGGGAAGAAGUAAGUGACGGUACCUGCAGAAGAAGCGACGGCUAAAUACGUG